UGAGAACCACUGGUUGAGACACUACUUCCU
rnacentral:piRNA from 1 species